UGUCUACGAGGAAAUAGAGUACAAACUGGCUAGAGAGGGAACCUACAGCGCCCCCAGGAGAGGGAGAUUCCUCUCUGACGAGCUGCCCUCUGGAUACGAUGAUGUGGAGGACAGUGAGGGAGACCCAAUACCAGGAGACUCAAUAGCUUCUGUGGAAGAAGAGAUCCCAGAGUACUAUGAUGAUGCAGUCACUGUACCUCAGAGUCCACACGCCUUGU